CAGAACUUAAAGGAAUUGACGGGGCCCGCACAAGCGGUGGAGCAUGUGGUUAAUUCGAUGAUACGCGAGGAACCUUACCUGGGCUCAAAUGUAUGUUGACGUAUUCUGAAAGGGAUACUUCUUCGGACAAUAUACAAGGUGCUGCAUGGUUGUCGUCAGCUCGUGCCGUGAGGUGUCGGGUUAAGUCCCAUAACGAGCGCAACCCCUAUCAUUAGUUGCCAUCAGGUCAAGCUGGGGACUCUAAUGAAACUGCCUACGCAAGUAGUGAGGAAGGUGGGGAUGACGUCAAAUCAGCACGGCCCUUACGUCCAGGGCUACACACGUGCUACAAUGGCCGGUACAAAGGGCAGCUACCUGGUGACAGGAUGCUAAUCUCAAAAGCCGGUCUCAGUUCGGAUCGGAGUCUGCAACCCGACUCCGUGAAGCUGGAAUCGCUAGUAAUCGUGGAUCAGCCAAGCCGCGGUGAAUACGUUCCCGGGCCUU
rnacentral:rRNA from 1 species